rfam:Ricinus communis cultivar Hale ctg_1100012351356, whole genome shotgun sequence.
AUGGCGAAUGAUGAAAAGAAUCAGACGGAUUCCCAUUGAUUAUACAAUAUGAUAGCAUAAUCAGCUACUUCUGAGUCAU